rnacentral:rRNA from 1 species
AGUGAACGCUGGCGGUAGGCCUAACACAUGCAAGUCGAACGGCAGCACAGUAAGAGCUUGCUCUUACGGGUGGCGAGUGGCGGACGGGUGAGGAAUACAUCGGAAUCUACUUUUUCGUGGGGGAUAACGUAGGGAAACUUACGCUAAUACCGCAUACGACCUACGGGUGAAAGCAGGGGAUCUUCGGACCUUGCGCGGUUGAAUGAGCCGAUGUCGGAUUAGCUAGUUGGCGGGGUAAAGGCCCACCAAGGCGACGAUCCGUAGCUGGUCUGAGAGGAUGAUCAGCCACACUGGAACUGAGACACGGUCCAGACUCCUACGGGAGGCAGCAGUGGGGAAUAUUGGACAAUGGGCGCAAGCCUGAUCCAGCCAUACCGCGUGGGUGAAGAAGGCCUUCGGGUUGUAAAGCCCUUUUGUUGGGAAAGAAAAGCAGCAGGUUAAUACCCCGCUGUUCUGACGGUACCCAAAGAAUAAGCACCGGUUAACUUCGUG